ensembl:lncRNA
AAUCCCUGGGUCGGGAAGCUCCUGGAGAAGGAAAUAGCAACCGACUCCAGUACUCUUGCCUGGAAUAUCCCAUAGACAGAGGAGCCUGCUCAGUGAUGUCAAAGCCAGACACACCAUGAUUCUGCUGGUCUUUUCGUCAAGUUGCAAGAUGGCUGCUGCGGCUCCAGAUGUCACAUCUGCCCUCCAGGCUGAAAAAGGAGGGAAGAGCACAAAUCAGUGGCACUACUGGUGUUGAAUAGUUCUUUAUCAGUCAUUUAUUGUUGCUUAAAAUACUGUCGUAAAACUUAGUGGCUCAAAACAACAAUUAUUUAUUGGUUCAUGUUUCUUGGCAUCAGAGUUUGGGCAGGGGUCAGCUGGCAGUUCUUCCUCUGGUCUGAUGGGUUCACUCAGCGACAGCAGUUGGUGACUCAGUAGGUGCUAUAUUGUCCAAGAGAGCCUAAGUUGUGUAUCGCAUAUCUGGUAUUUGCUGCUGGCUUUUAAGAUGUGAUGACAGAAGCAGAGGUCAGAGUGAUGCCAUUGCUAGAAGGGGACCACUACCCAAGGAAUGUAGGUAGUAGCCUCUGCCAGCUGGAAAAGGCAAGAAGUGGACUCCUUCCCUGAAACUUCCAGAAAGAUCAAACUCUGCCAACACCUUGGUUUUACCCCAAUAAGACCAGUUUUGGACUUCAGACAUCAAGAACUAUAAGAGAAUAAAUGUGCUAUGUCACUUAUUACAGCAGCAAUAAGAAACUAUCUCCCUCCAUUGCUCUCUCAUUCUCUAAGGUAGAAGUUAGCCAACUAUGGCCUCAUUGCCUGAUUUUGUAAAUAACUUGUAUUGGAACAUACAUGUCCUUCCCUAUUAUCUAUGUCUGCUUUCAUGCUGCAGCAGCAC